GAUGCCCAAGAUAGAUGAUGUGAGAACAGAAGGGAAAAUGGGAAGCACCGCAACAAUGGAGAAGACCGGCGUGGGAGAUGGCGAUGAUGAUGCAGCAACUCAUCAUCGAUGUGGUGCAUGCCCUGUUAGAUAUGAUAUCGAUGGAUUAAAGGAGUGUAUGUGACGGGAUCUUGCAAGAAAAGAGUCUGUUCAGAAGAAAAAACCUAGAGGGAGAAUUGCUCUAAUCAAUGGCAACCAAUAAUAGGCAUGGUUUACCCGACUCAUGUGCACCACCAAUUGUUCUGAUGAACUCCUUUGAGAGAAGAGUUAUGGCUGAUUUAGAGGACAUCAAAAGAGCUAACAAUAGUAUUCGAGAGGAACAAAUUCUAUUGAAGUCCAUGAUUGAACGCAUAACAAAAAAUUUA